CGCUAGAGCACUUGCUUACUCAUGUUUUUCUGCAGCAACGACGUGUUCUUGUUGUCUCUGUUUCCCCAUUUUCAGUGGAGUGCACAACAGUGUAGGCAGAAUCCCUGAACCUCGACUUUUUGAGCUGCGUGUGACAGGAACCCCGUCGCCGGGUCAGGUUUAGCUGCUGUGUAGUAUUUUGUUGGGUUUUCGCUGGAAAGGUUUUUUCUUUCAAGAAUCAUGGGUCCUUGGAUGGUGAAAGUUUCGUGUGUUUCGCGGGAUACAGCGCGAGAGUCCUCCGUUCUAUGUGUGAC
rnacentral:lncRNA from 1 species